GCACCUUCGGGUGUGAAUUAGCGGCGAACGGGUGAGGAACACGUGAAGAAUCUGCCUUCAACUCUGGGAUAACUCCGGGAAACCGGGGCUAAUACCGGAUAUGAGCCUUGAUCGCAUGAUCGGGGCUGGAAAGUUUUUCGGUUGAAGAUGACUUCGCGGCCUAUCAGCUUGUUGGUGAGGUAAUGGCUCACCAAGGCGACGACGGGUAGCCGGCCUGAGAGGGCGACCGGCCACACUGGGACUGAGACACGGCCCAGACUCCUACGGGAGGCAGCAGUGGGGAAUAUUGGGCAAUGGAGGAAACUCUGACCCAGCGACGCCGCGUGAGGGAUGAAGGCCUUCGGGUUGUAAACCUCUUUCAGUAGGGAAGAAGCGAAAGUGACGGUACCUACAGAAGAAGCACCGGCUAACUAUGUGCCAGCAGCCGCGGUAAUACAUAGGGUGCAAGCGUUGUCCGGAAUUAUUGGGCGUAAAGAGCUCGUAGGUGGUUCGAUACGUCGGAUGUGAAAAUCAGGGGCUCAACCCCUGACCUGCAUCCGAUACGGUCGAGCUAGAGUUUGGUAGGGGAGACUGGAAUUCCUGGUGUAGCGGUGGAAUGCGCAGAUAUCAGGAGGAACACCGAUGGCGAAGGCAGGUCUCUGGGCCAAUACUGACACUGAGGAGCGAAAGCGUGGGGAGCGAACAGGAUUAGAUACCCUGGUAGUCCACGCCGUAAACGGUGGGCGCUAGUUGUGCGAACCUUCCACGGUUUGUGCGACGCAGCUAACGCAUUAAGCG
rnacentral:rRNA from 1 species